CCUAUUGUCUGAGUAGUUAAGUACGCUCGGAUAGGGGAARGGUGAUAGUACUGCACGGSCUUCGGSCCACGCAGAUAGUGYACCUAAGGACUGCCAAGAAAAGCUGCUAAACGUUGUAUYCKUAYWCGGCYCGUACCGCAAACCGACACAGGUAGUCAAGGAGAGUAUCCUGAGGCGCUCGAGUGAAUCACGGCCAAGGAACUCGGCAAAAUGGUCCUGUAACUUCGGGAGAAGGGACGCUUCCUCUAGCAAUAGAGAAGCCGCAGUGAAAAGACCCAAGCGACUGUUUAACAAAAACACAUGGCUUUGCUAACGCGUAAGCGGACGUAUAAGGCCUGACACCUGCCCGGUGCUGGAAGGUUAAGAGGGGAGCUUAGUCGCAAGGCGAAGGCUUGAAUCGAAGCCCCAGUAAACGGCGGCCGUAACUAUAACGGUCCUAAGGUAGCGAAAUUCCUUGUCGGGUAAGUUCCGACCUGCACGAAUGGUGUAACGAUUUGGGUGCUGUCUCAGCCGUGAGCUCGGUGAAAUUGUAGUCUCGGUGAAGAUGCCGAGUACCCGCCACGGGACGGAAAGACCCCGUGCACCUUUACUAUAGGUUGCCAUUGGUGGUGGGUUCAGUAUGUGUAGCAUAGGCGGGAGGCGUCGAAGCRGGGCCGCUAGGUCUYGKGGAGCCAACGUUGAAAUACCGCCCUURCUGUGCCUGMUGCCUAACUCUAAGUUUCUUAGAGAACAGUGGCUGCUGGGUAGUUUGACUGGGGUGGUCGCCUCCAAAAGMGUAUCGGAGGCUUUCAAAGGUCCACUCAAUCCGCUUGGUAACCGGAUGUAGAG
rnacentral:rRNA from 1 species